rnacentral:rRNA from 1 species
AUUGAACGCUGGCGGCAUGCCUUACACAUGCAAGUCGAACGGUAACAGGUCUUCGGAUGCUGACGAGUGGCGAACGGGUGAGUAAUACAUCGGAACGUGCCUAGUAGUGGGGGAUAACUACUCGAAAGAGUGGCUAAUACUGCAUGAGAUCUACGGAUGAAAGCAGGGGAUUGCAAGACCUUGUGCUACUAGAGCGGCCGAUGGCAGAUUAGGUAGUUGGUGGGAUAAAAGCUUACCAAGCCGACGAUCUGUAGCUGGUCUGAGAGGACGAUCAGCCACACUGGGACUGAGACACGGCCCAGACUCCUACGGGAGGCAGCAGUGGGGAAUUUUGGACAAUGGGCGCAAGCCUGAUCCAGCAAUGCCGCGUGCAGGAUGAAGGCCUUCGGGUUGUAAACUGCUUUUGUACGGAACGAAAAGCCCCGGGUUAAUACCCUGGGGUCAUGACGGUACCGUAAGAAUAAGCACCGGCUAACUACGUGCCAGCCGCCGCGGUAA